UUGGGUCUUUGUUGCUGCAUGUAGGCUUUCUCUAGUUGUGGCGAGCAGGGGCUACUCUUCGUUGUGUUGUGUGGGCUUCUCAUUGCGGUGGCUUCUCUUGUUGCGGAGCAUGGGCUGUAGGCAUGCGGGCUUCAGUAGUUGUGGCGCACGGGCUUAGUUGCUCUGUGGCAUGUGGGAUCUUCCCAGACCAGGGAUCGAACCCGGACUUACCUGGUGGUCCAGUGGGUAAGACUCCAUGCUCCUAAUGCAAGGGGCCCAGGUUCAAUCCCUGGUCAGGGAACUAGAUCCCACAGGCGGCAACUAAGACCCGGCGCAGCCAAAAUAAAUAAAUAAAUAUUUUUUUAAAAAA